rnacentral:rRNA from 1 species
GACGAACGCUGGCGGCGUGCCUAAUACAUGCAAGUCGAGCGGACCAAUAGAAGCUUGCUUCUAUUGGUUAGCGGCGGACGGGUGAGUAACACGUGGGCAACCUGCCUGUAAGACUGGGAUAACUUCGGGAAACCGGAGCUAAUACCGGAUAAUUCAUCCCCUCGGAUGAGGGGGUGCUGAAAGUCGGUUCACGCUGACACUUACAGAUGGGCCUGCGGCGCAUUAGCUAGUUGGUGAGGUAAUGGCUCACCAAGGCGACGAUGCGUAGCCGACCUGAGAGGGUGAUCGGCCACACUGGGACUGAGACACGGCCCAGACUCCUACGGGAGGCAGCAGUAGGGAAUCUUCCACAAUGGACGAAAGUCUGAUGGAGCAACGCCGCGUGAGCGAUGAAGGCCUUCGGGUCGUAAAGCUCUGUUGUUAGGGAAGAACAAGUACCGGAGUAACUGCCGGUACCUUGACGGUACCUAACCAGAAAGCCACGGCUAACUACGUGCCAGCCGCCGCGGUAA